rnacentral:rRNA from 1 species
GAUGAACGCUGGCGGCGUGCCUAACACAUGCAAGUCGAGCGAUCUUCUUCGGAAGAGAGCGGCGGACGGGUGAGUAACGCGUGGGUAACCUGCCUCAUACACAUGGAUAACAUACCGAACGGUAUGCUAAUACAAGAUGAUAUACGAGAUUCGCAUGGAUUUCUUAUCAAAGCUCCGGCGGUAUGAGAUGGACCCGCGUCUGAUUAGCUAGUUGGUAAGGUAACGGCUUACCAAGGCGACGAUCAGUAGCCGACCUGAGAGGGUGAUCGGCCACAUUGGAACUGGGACACGGUCCAAACUCCUACGGGAGGCAGCAGUGGGGAAUAUUGCACAAUGGGCGAAAGCCUGAUGCAGCAACGCCGCGUGAGCGAUGAAGGCCUUCGGGUCGUAAAGCUCUGUCCUCAAGGAAGAUAAUGACGGUACUUGAGGAGGAAGCCCCGGCUAACUACGUGCCAGCAGCCGCAGUAAUAC